rnacentral:pre_miRNA from 1 species
GUUCUACUCCCUCCGUUCGGAAUUACUUGUCGCGAAAAUGGAUGUAUCUAGAUGUAUUUUAGUUCUAGAUACAUCCAUUUCCGAGACAAGUAAUUUCGAACGGAGGGAGUAAUUU